rnacentral:rRNA from 1 species
UGGGGAAUAUUGCACAAUGGGCGCAAGCCUGAUGCAGCCAUGCCGCGUGUGUGAAGAAGGCCUUCGGGUUGUAAAGCACUUUCAGCGGGGAGGAAGGCGAUAAGGUUAAUAACCUUGUCGAUUGACGUUACCCGCAGAAGAAGCACCGGCUAACUCCGUGCCAGCAGCCGCGGUAAUACGGAGGGUGCAAGCGUUAAUCGGAAUUACUGGGCGUAAAGCGCACGCAGGCGGUCUGUCAAGUCGGAUGUGAAAUCCCCGGGCUCAACCUGGGAACUGCAUUCGAAACUGGCAGGCUAGAGUCUUGUAGAGGGGGGUAGAAUUCCAGGUGUAGCGGUGAAAUGCGCAGAGAUCUGGAGGAAUACCGGUGGCGAAGGCGGCCCCCUGGACAAAGACUGACGCUCAGGUGCGAAAGCGUGGGGAGCAAACAGG